rnacentral:rRNA from 1 species
AAAGAAAUCAGUUCAGCACUAAGUCACUUUGUCUAUAUGGCAAAUGUGAGAUGCAGUGUAUGGAACAUCAAUAUUCUAGUAUGAGAAAUUAACGAUUUAAGUCCUUCUUAAAUGAGGCCAUUUACCCAUAGAGGGUGCCAGGCCCGUAUAACGUUAAUGAUUACUAGAUGGUGCUUCCAAAGAGUCGUGUUGCUUGAUAGUGCAGCACUAAGUGGGUGGUAAACUCCAUCUAAAACUAAAUAUAACCAUGAGACCGAUAGUAAACAAGUACCGUGAGGGAAAGUUGAAAAGAACUCUGAAUAGAGAGUUAAAUAGUACGUGAAACUGCUUAGAGGUUAAGCCCGAUGAACCUGAAUAUCCAUUAUGGAAAAUUCAUCAUUAGAAUUGUAAUGUUUAAAUAAUAUUAUAAAAAUAGUGUGCAUUUUUUCCAUAUAAGGACAUUGUAAUCUAUUAACAUAUUAAUUUAUCAAAAAAUUGUGAAUUAUUGCUUAUUUAAAUUAUAGUGCGUGCAUUAUAACAUAAAAUAAAUUGUCAUAAAUUUGAUAAAGUGUUGAUAGAUUUAUAUGAAUACUGUGCGUUAAUUUUUCGGAAUUAUAUAAUGGCAUAAUUAUCAUUGAUUUUUGUGUUUAUUAUAUGCACAUGUAUGAU